AGCCUGAUGGAGCAACACCGCGUGAGUGAAGAAGGGUUUCGGCUCGUAAAGCUCUGUUGUUAAAGAAGAACACGUAUGAGAGUAACUGUUCAUACGUUGACGGUAUUUAACCAGAAAGUCACGGCUAACUACGUGCCAGCAGCCGCGGUAAUACGUAGGUGGCAAGCGUUAUCCGGAUUUAUUGGGCGUAAAGAGAGUGCAGGCGGUUUUCUAAGUCUGAUGUGAAAGCCUUCGGCUUAACCGGAGAAGUGCAUCGGAAACUGGAUAACUUGAGUGCAGAAGAGGGUAGUGGAACUCCAUGUGUAGCGGUGGAAUGCGUAGAUAUAUGGAAGAACACCAGUGGCGAAGGCGGCUACCUGGUCUGCAACUGACGCUGAGACUCGAAAGCAUGGGUAGCGAACAGGAUUAGAUACCCUGGUAGUCCAUGCCGUAAACGAUGAGUGCUAGGUGUUGGAGGGUUUCCGCCCUUCAGUGCCGGAGCUAACGCAUUAAGCACUCCGCCUGGGGAGUACGACCGCAAGGUUGAAACUCAAGGAAUUGACGG
rnacentral:rRNA from 2 species